GUAGUCUGCAACUCGACUACAUGAAGCUGGAAUCGCUAGUAAUCGCGGAUCAGAAUGCCGCGGUGAAUACGUUCCCGGGUCUUGUACACACCGCCCGUCACACCAUGGGAGUCGGAAAUGCCCGAAGCCAGUGACCCAACUGAAAGGAGGGAGCUGUCGAAGGCAGGUCUGAUAACUGGGGUGAAGUCGUAACAAGGUAUC
rnacentral:rRNA from 1 species